GACGAACGCUGGCGGCGUGCUUAACACAUGCAAGUCGAACGGAAAGGCCCUGCUUUUGUGGGGUGCUCGAGUGGCGAACGGGUGAGUAACACGUGAGUAACCUGCCCUUGACUUUGGGAUAACUUCAGGAAACUGGGGCUAAUACCGGAUAGGAGCUCCUGCUGCAUGGUGGGGGUUGGAAAGUUUCGGCGGUUGGGGAUGGACUCGCGGCUUAUCAGCUUGUUGGUGGGGUAGUGGCUUACCAAGGCUUUGACGGGUAGCCGGCCUGAGAGGGUGACCGGCCACAUUAGGACUGAGAUACGGCCCAGACUCCUACGGGAGGCAGCAGUGGGGAAGAUUGCACAAUGGGCGGAAGCCUGAUGCAGCAACGCCGCGUGCGGGAUGACGGCCUUCGGGUUGUAAACCGCUUUCGCCUGUGACGAAGCGUGAGUGACGGUAAUGGGUAAAGAAGCACCGGCUAACUACGUG
rnacentral:rRNA from 1 species